UGGACUGGAUGCAUUCACUGCUGUAGCUGUAGUACAACUGCUUAGGAAUUUGUCAAGGAACAGUGAGAGGAUUAUUGUCAUGUCCAUCCACCAGCCGAGAUAUUCCAUUUAUAAACAGUUUGACUCUCUCACUCUUCUCUCCCAGGGGAACAUGGUUUAUCAUGGAGCAAUAAAGGAGACACUUCCAUAUUUUAUUAACCUUGGGUAUUUUUGUGAGGAGCAUGACAAUCCUGCUGACUUUCUACUUGAUGUUAUUAAUCAGUGUGAAGGACUGACAUCAGCC